rnacentral:sRNA from 1 species
AUGGCUGUCGUCAGCUCGUGUCGUGAGAUGUUGGGUUAAGUCCCGCAACGAGCGCAACCCUUGCCAUUAAUUGCCAUCAUUUAGUUGGGCACUUUAAUGGGACUGCCGGUGACAAACCGGAGGAAGGUGGGGAUGACGUCAAGUCCUCAUGGCCCUUAUGGCCAGGGCUUCACACGUAAUACAAUGGUCGGUACAGAGGGAAGCCAACCCGCGAGGGGGAGCCAAUCCCAGAAAGCCGAUCGUAGUCCGGAUUGUUGUCUGCAACUCGACAGCAUGAAGUCGGAAUCGCUAGUAAUCGCGGAUCAGAAUGUCGCGGUGAAUACGUUCCCGGGCCUUGUACACACCGCCCGUCACACCAUGGGAGUGGGUUUUACCAGAAGUAGUUAGUCUGACCGUAAGGAGGACGAUUACCACGGUAGGAUUCAUGACUGGGGUGAAGUCGUAACAAGGUAGCCGUAUCGGAAGGUGCGGCUGGAUCACCUCCUUUCAAGAGAUCACCUCUUUAUAAGUACUCACUCUUAUCAGUUGUUUUUAGCUCAAAGAAAAAUUCAAUUGACCCAUUAAGGGUCUGUAGCUCAGCUGGUUAGAGCACCGUGUUGAUAACGCGGGGGUCGUUGGUUCGAGCCCAACCAGACCCACCAACAUAACCUGUUUAGUUCCUAGGGGGAUUAGCUCAGCUGGGAGAGCACCUGCUUUGCAAGCAGGGGGUCGUCGGUUCGAUCCCGUCAUCCUCCACCAAUUCUUUGUAUUUAGAAGUAAGUCUCAAGUGCUGUUAUGUAGCUUUUGAGACUGGCUUUUAUUAGCUAGUAUGUUCUUUAACAAUUUGGAAGAAGUAAAACGAAAUCAUAAGAUUGUGAUGAGAUUAUGAUUUCAUUGGGUAAUGAUUGUAAUAAUCAAAACUAAAUCAACAAAAGACUAAGAAGUUUUAGUAUUUAUAGUUGUUUUAAGCAAUGCUUUAGAAGAAACUAUAACGAUUGUCUCAUGCAAAAAAACAUAAGUUUAAAAGGGCUUAGGUUUUAAAGUUAUAGGAUCAAGUGAAUAAGUGCAUAUGGUGAAUGCCUUGGCGAUUACAGGCGAUGAAGGACGUGGUAGUCUGCGAAAAUUCUCGGGGAGCUGACAAACGAGCUUUGAUCCGGGAGUGUCCGAAUGGGGAAACCCGG